UACGAAGGGGGCUAGCGUUGCUCGGAAUCACUGGGUGUAAAGCGCACGUAGGCGGCUUUUUAAGUCAGAGGUGAAAUCCUGGAGCUCAACUCCAGAACUGCCUUUGAUACUGGAGAGCUUGAGUCCGGGAGAGGUGAGUGGAACUGCGAGUGUAGAGGUGAAAUUCGUAGAUAUUCGCAAGAACACCAGUGGCGAAGGCGGCUCACUGGCCCGGUACUGACGCUGAGGUGCGAAAGCGUGGGGAGCAAACAGG
rnacentral:rRNA from 1 species